rnacentral:rRNA from 1 species
UACGUAGGGAGCUAGCGUUGUUCGGAAUCACUGGGCGUAAAGCGCACGUAGGCGGAUUUGCCAGUCAGGGGUGAAAUCCCGGGGCUCAACCUCGGAACUGCCUUUGAUACAGCAAGUCUUGAGUUCGAGAGAGGUGGGUGGAAUUCCUAGUGUAGAGGUGAAAUUCGUAGAUAUUAGGAAGAACACCGGUGGCGAAGGCGGCCCACUGGCUCGACACUGACGCUGAGGUGCGAAAGCGUGGGGAGCAAACAGG